rnacentral:rRNA from 1 species
CAGUCGCCACGGUAAUACGUAGGUGGCAAGCGUUGUCCGGAAUUACUGGGCGUAAAGCGUGCGCAGGCGGUUCUAUAAGACAGAUGUGAAAUCCCCGGGCUCAACCUGGGAACUGCAUUUGUGACUGUAGAGCUGGAGUGCGGCAGAGGGGGAUGGAAUUCCGCGUGUAGCAGUGAAAUGCGUAGAUAUGUGGAGGAACACCGAUGGCGAAGGCAAUCCCCUGGGCCUGCACUGACGCUCAUGCACGAAAGCGUGGGGAGCAAACAGGAUUAGAUACCCCAGUAGUCCCUGUCUCUUAUAC